CACCGGCGGCUCGAGUGGUAACCGCUAUUAUUGGGUCUAAAGGGUCUGUAGCCGGCUGAAAAAGUCUCUUGGGAAAUCCGGCAGCCUAACUGUCGGGCGUUCAGGAGAUACUCUUCGGCUCGAGACCGGGAGAGGUGAGAGGUACUUCAUGGGUAGGGGUGAAAUCUUGUAAUCCUUGAAGGACCACCAGUGGCGAAGGCGUCUCACCAGAACGGAUCUGACGGCAAGGGACGAAAGCUAGGGGC
rnacentral:rRNA from 1 species